rnacentral:lncRNA from 1 species
ACUAAUUAGGUUAAAUAACAACAUUGAAACAGAUCUAGAAUCAUACCUUUGAGUUCCCUGUUGAUCUUGAGGUCUUGGAGCUUCUAGAGUCACAAAUGUCACUCCUCUAAUGGCUUACAAACACCAAUAGCAAGGAAGAUGAUUUAGGAGAGAGGAGAGGGGAGGAAUUCGGCCAGGGUUCUCUUGCUUUUGGAGAUGUGUCGAAUUCCCUAUGCCAUGGGGUCUAUUUAUACUUGUAGACUCCUUAAGGGUUAAAACCUAAACCCUAAUUAGAUAACUUAGACUUUAAGUUAAUCCAUAUCCUUUCCUUGAUAACCCUUUGGACGAUUUUGGCUUAUCCUAGCCCUAGAAAUCGUCCAAUCCUAUAUCAAUAAGGAUUUACAGUCUAAAGUUUAACUAUCAAACAAUUGACAGUUUAUACCCCUUUAUUUAAUUAAUCUCUUUAAGUCACCAAAUUAAUUCUAAUUAAUUCUAUGACUUAUAUUAAUCAAAUAACAAAUAUAUUAUUCAUUAUAUUAUUCUCAUAAUAUAUUAAUAAUAUUUACUCUCUCGUAAUAAAUCAUCCUAUCAAGUUGCUAUGGUGAAGGCAACCCAAAAGGACCAUGCACAACCGGGUCAAAUACUUGUCUAAUAUAGUUGCAGCCUUAGACACUAUUCCAACAGUCUCCCACUUGGAUAAGUCUAGUAACUAUAUUUACAAGUACAAUUCGGUUUGCAAUCGUAGCUCUCAAAGACGCUGUCAACUCUGAUCUAAUCAAUCUUGUCCUUUAGAUAAGGGAACGUACAGUCCUCUGUUAGAUAUCAUGCUGACAAUCCUAUGGAAUGGUUAGUCAAGCAUUUAGGUUUCUCGAUCUCUGAUUUAUUUGACAUAGAACUUAAUCGAACACAUCAAUUCAGUUCUGACCGGGCCCGGCACAUAAGUCAAAUCAAAUCAUCGAGCGGCCGAGAUAUCGCUUUUACCUUCUUAGAUAAAAGUUACAGAUAAACUUCGACUUAUAUGCAUUUACUUAUUCAUUAACCAACUAUACACAACAAUACGUUUUAUAACACCAAGUUACUGAUGCGUUUUCGUAUUAUCAAUGUACAAUCAAUUAACAAAUAAUAAACCAUAUAUCUAGGUUUUAAGACUAUAUGAUAUUAUCGUCUUGCGAUCACCUUUUAUAUCGUAUUCCAUAAGGUGAUUCCAGCAAGCGCGGGUUUAUUCCAAUGCUCAAAACUAGUUCAUAAGCACUCAUGAACGUUGCAGCAAUCCUUUGCUAUGUCUAACACCAUUUAGACAUUCUACACACCAAUUCAUGACAAUCUUCAUUCAUAUCUACUCCCAACAUAUGAACGAUUGUGGACCAUUUGAACAAUUCGAUUAUUCCUAAUAAACUCAAUUAUUCUGGAAGUCAAAACAUGCAAAGUGAAACAAUAGCUAAACAAUUAACAUAAGAUAGUAACAUUACUCAUAAAUAAAACUCCUUUAUUUAAUCAUCAAAUGUCAAUUACAUUUAUCUAUUACACGUUUCUAAUACUAUCUAAUCUAUGCUAAUAUCAUCCUUCAGCCCAAUACUCCUAGCAUGCUGCAAGUGCUUAACCCUACUCAGUCCCUUCGUAAGCGGAUCUGCUGGGUUAUCUUCUGAUGAUAUCCUCUUCACUACGAGUUGUCCUUCUUCUACACGAUGUCUAAUGAAGUGAUAUUUUCUGUCGAUAUGUCUUGAUCUACCAUGAUCCCUCGGUUCCUUGGUCAAGGCAACCGCGCCUUCGUUAUCACAGAAAAUCUCCAUUGGCUCCUUUAUGGCAGGUACAACUCCAAGAUCACCGAUGAAGUUCUUUAGCCAUAUUGCCUCCUUCGACGCUUCGCUCGCUGCAAUGUACUCUGAUUCGCACGUUGAAUCAGCUACGGUUUCCUGCUUGGAACUCUUCCAUGUCACUGCUCCUCCAUUUAGGGUAAAGACCCAGCCCGACUGCGAACGGUAGUUGUCCCUGUCGGUCUGAAAACUGGCGUCACUAUACCCUCGCACCUUCAAGUCAUCACUCCCUCCGAGGACUAAGAACCAUUCCUUCGUCCUCCGAAGGUACUUAAGGAUAUUCUUCACCGCAAUCCAAUGUGCUUUGCCAGGAUUCCCUUGAUAUCUGCUAACCAUGCUCAAAGCGAAGGCUACAUCAGGGCGAGUACAAGUCAUAGCGUACAUGAUUGAGCCAACUGCGGAAGCGUAUGGUACUCGGCUCAUUUCUGCUAUCUCAGCUUCGGUACUCGGACUUUGAGUCUUACUCAAUUUGGCAUUACUUUGUAUCGGUAGUUCUCCCUUCUUUGAGUUUUCCAUACUAAAACGUUUUAGUACCUUCUCUAAGUAAGUAUUCUGACUAAGUCCAAUUAGUCUCUUACUUCUUUCUCUUACUAUCCUUAUUCCCAAAAUGUAAGAAGCCUCUCCGAGGUCCUUCAUAGCGAAACACUUCCCGAGCCAGGACUUAACUUCCUGCAGAGUCGGGAUGUCGUUUCCUAUGAGUAAUAUGUCAUCGACAUAUAGAACGAGGAAGCUUACUAUACUCCCACUGGCUUUGACAUAUACACAAGAUUCGUCUUCGCUUCGUACAAAUCCAAACUCUUUGACUUUCUCAUCGAAGCAAAGAUUCCAUCUGCGAGACGCUUGCUUAAGUCCAUAAAUGGACUUCUCAAGCUUACACACUCUAUUCGGAUGCUUCGGAUCCACAAACCCCUCUGGCUGAGCCAUGUAAACAUCCUCAGCCAACUUUCCGUUAAGGAAAGCGGUCUUGACAUCCAUUUGCCAAAUCUCAUAAUCAUGAAAUGCGGCAAUUGCUAGCAUCACUCUAAUAGAUUUAAUCUUCGCAACUGGUGAGAAGGUCUCAUCAUAGUCAACUCCGGGAGUUUGAGUAAAGCCCUUCGCAACCAAUCGCGCUUUAUAUGUGUGUACGUUUCCAUCCACGUCGGUCUUCUUCUUGAAGAUCCAUUUGCACCCAACGGUCUUACGUCCGGGCACAUAAUCAACCAAAUUCCAAACUUGGUUAUCAUACAUGGAUUGGAUCUCGCUAUCCAUUGCCUCUUUCCAUUUUGCAGACUCCGGGCCUGCCAUGGCUUCCUUAUAGCUAUUAGGUUCAUCAAGAUUUAUUAGUGUACCAUCACUAAUAUACGUGUCCCCUUCGGUAGUAAUAUGAAAACCAUAAAACUGGGGUUGAACUCUAACUCUAUCGGAACGUCUAAGAGGUAAGGAUUCGUCAAUCGGUUCAACCGGAGUUUCCUCCUCGGGUUGAGUGCCAGCGGUAGAGGUUCCUUCAUCUAUCGACUCUUGAAUCUCUUCAAGCUCGAUUUGCCUCCCACUGUCUCCUUGGCUUAUGAGUUCUCGCUCUCGGAAAACUCCUCUCCUCGCAACGAAGACAACAUUGUCCUUCGGUCUAUAGAAGAGAUAUCCAAAGGAUGUCUGCGGGUAGCCGAUGAAAAUACAUCGCUCACUUCGAGGUUCAAGCUUGUCGUGAGUAUCUCGUCUUACGAAAGCCUCGCAACCCCAAACCUUGAUAUGUGCCAACGAGGGAGCUUUCCCUGUCCACAUCUCGUGAGGUGUUUUGGCAACCUUCUUAGUAGGGACUCGGUUAAGGAUAUGGGCGGCAGUCUCUAAGGCAUACCCCCAAAAAGAGAUAGGUAGUGAAGCACGACUCAUCAUAGAGCGAACCAUAUCCAAUAAGGUUCGAUUACGCCUUUCUGCCACACCAUUCAACUGCGGUGUCCUAGGAGGCGUCAAUUGCGAAACUAUUCCACACUCCUUGAGAUAAUCGUGGAAUUCAAGACUUAGGUACUCUCCUCCUCGAUCGGAUCGAAGCAUCUUGAUUUUCCUGCCCAAUUGAUUCUCCACUUCAUUCUUGAACUCUUUGAACUUUUCAAAGGUGUCUGACUUUUGCUUGAUUAAGUAGAUAUACCCAUAUCUACUAUAGUCAUCGGUAAAAGUCACAUAGAAGCGGUUCCCAUCCUUCGUGGUUGAUCUAAACGGUCCACAUACAUCGGUAUGUAUUAGGUCCAAUAGACCCUCGCCCCUUUCACAUGUACUCGUGAAGGGUGACUUAGUCAUCUUUCCAAGCAAACAAGACUCGCAUGUGUCAUCUUCCCUAAGGUCGAAUGACUCCAACACUCCAUCCUUUUGGAGUUGGGCUAUGCGUUUCUUGUUGACAUGUCCAAGACGACAAUGCCACAAGGAUGCUUUAUCCAUACUAGUGGAAGAAUCAAUAUUCAAAACAUCAUUUCCUAAGUUAUCAACAAUCAUAACGGUUUCAUAUAUUCCAUUACAUGGUAUAGCUUCAAAGUAAAAGACACCAUUUAGAUAAGCCAAAAUAGAACCAUUCUCAUUAUUAAAAGAAAAUCUAAAUCCUUGUCUAUAUAAACCAUGAAAUGAAAUGAUGUUUCUUGCCAUUUCUGGCGAAUAGCAACAAUUGUUCAAAUCUAAAACUAAACUAUUCCUAAGCACUAAGGAAUACACUCCAAUCUUGGUCACAGGCGACGAUCUUCUGUUCCCCAUGAUUAGAUUGAUCCUUCCUUGCUCCACAUCCCUACUUCUUCUUAGUCCCUGCACAUUAGAACAAAUGUGAUAACCACAACCGGUAUCAAGAACCCAAGAAAUAGCAUGAUUAGAAUCGUUAGAUUUGAUUGUAUAUAUACCUGCGAAAGAUGGCUUGAUCUUUCCUUCUUUGAUUGCUUGCAGGUAAUCCGGGCAGCUUCUCUUCCAAUGUCCUAUCUUGUGGCAGUGGUGGCACUCUGCCUCCUUCGGGUUAGAGCAGGGCUUGGCGGGAUCAACUUUGGUCCCACUAGAAGAGGCACCAUCUCGGGCUUUCACCUUGCGAUAGUUCUUCGAUGAAGCUUUCCUCUUCUUUCCCUUCCCUUGUCCAAUAGCCAAGACAGGAGCAGCGGGCGGAUUGGGAGUAGGUGCAACAGACUUGUCUUUGAAGUUGCUCUCAGCAACCCUCAAGAGACCUUGGAGCUUGCUUAGGGUGACCUCUUCUUUGUUCAUGUGGUAGGUCAUCCUAAAUUGGUUGUACAUCGGAGGCAAAGAGUGAAGCACCAUGUCGAUCGCCAAGUCUUCACCGAAGUCAACAUUUAACUUGCGAAGGCGGUCAACAUACCUUUGCAUCUUUUGCAAGUGCACGGUAAGAGAUUCUCCAUGACCCAUCUUCGCGGAAAUCAUGUUAGUGAAAAUCUCGUACCUCUCUUGUCUCGCGUUUUGGUGGUACCUCUCCAAUAAGUCUUGAUGCAUCUCGUACGGGUACAUGUCCUCGUAGGACUUUUGGAAUUCGGAGUUCAUGGUGGCGAUCAUGAUGCAAUGUACCUUCGUUGCAUCUCGCUCAUGAGUUUCAAAGGCGGUGAUUUCGGCGGGAGUAGCAAUUUCGGGGUUGAUUUUCUCGAGCUUCUCAUCGAGGACAUACUCCUUAUCCUCAUAGCGAGCAAUGGUGCGAAUGUAUCUUAUCCAUUCGCUAAAGUUCGUUCCAUCGAAGGUGACCUUUUGGCAAAGGCUCAUCAACGUGAAAGAACUAGCAGCAGCGUUGUUUGCGUUCGACAUCUACAAUUAGAAAAGGACAAAGAUAGAUUAGAAUAAGAAUCCCUAAUUAUCACCCAAUAAGAAAAUUAGGGCUAGGAUCCAACAAUAACAUUUACAUACUAGAAAAGGGAUGCCGUAAUCUAACAUGCAAAUAAAUUGAAGGUAAGUGAAUGACGAUUCACUAAUUCUCCAUCACAAAACUUAAACUAUUAGUCCUAAGUGUUUUUGAGAAUUCCUAGGUUCGGAUGAGAUUCAUUGAAACUAUUCAAUGGCAUGUUUAAAUCUCGAUAUGCCCCUCUUGUUUGUGACUGGGAUGCCGAGGAUCACAAAGCGGGUGUGAAUUACCAUGCAAAUUCACAUGGUGCCUUCAUUGUAACGAUCACCUAUUCGAUGUGCCGGUAAACCACACACGCUCCAUCGAACUAUGAUAAACAAUGAAUCACCCUUUGCCACCUUCGCUUAGAACCAAUUAGUGUGCCGGUAAACCACACACGCUCCACUAACAUCUUAGCAAGGUGCAAAGUGUAAUUUCAUGGGAUUGCAUCAAUUCACUUUUCCUAAAGUAACUAGGAUUGGGAAAUUUUAAAAAAAUAUGUAGUUACUUUAUAUUUCUUAUUAUACUUUUAAUGAGAGGAUGAGGUUGCCCUAUCCUACCCGUUCGGCUAACGACCCUCCACCAAUCAAGCAAGCGGUGGGUGUGAGUGUACACCCAUUAAGCGCCAUUUUAUAGGCCGCAACCUUAUACCCACCUUAUAGAUCGGCUUCGUGAAUGAGGCCUACUAACGGUAAGACUAGCAUUUAGUUAUACAUAUAUAUAUUAUUCUAGUAAUAUCAUAUUAGUAUAGGGUUGUAUUUUAAAACUUUUAAAAUCUAGGGUUUGAAAUUUAAGUUGUCUAAAUUAAAACUUUUAAUCACAAAAGUAAAUUUCAAAACAUGAGGGUAGGUUUUAAACAUUUAAAACAUGGAGGAUCAAAUAACAAAUAAUUCCAAUUAACAAUUAAUAUCCUAAUUAUCUAUAUUUGAUUUAUUCAAGAUUUCUUUUAAAGAUAAUUACCAAAAUAAUCAAAAUAAUUAAUUAAUUAUCAUAUAAGGAAAUUAAAUAUUUAAUUAGUUGAUAAUUACCUUUAACUAGAUCAAGAUAAUAGUUAUAUUUAUCAGAAAAACGAAUUAAUGUUGAUCUAAUUAGUUUAUGGUAAGUUAAGAUAAGAUAAACACAAAGAAAUCCCGAAUCUGGCCAUUCCUGACGCCUGGACUCGCCGAGUGCACAAAUGGACUCGCCGAGUCAGGCCUACUCGCCGAGUCCACUUUGAGACUCGCCGAGUCCAUGACUCAGAAACCAAAAAUUCGAAUUUUGCAGGUUUGUUUCAGUUAAUCAAGCAACAAUUUAAAGAAAACCAAGCUAGGCUCUGAUACCACUGAUGGGUUUUAGCCAUAAGAACUUUCCUAUGUGCGCAUGCAAAACCCUAAUGCUUGGAUCUAGGCUUUCUAAUAAACAUGCUUUGAAUCCAAUUCUUCUAAUGACUAAUUAGGUUAAAUAACAACAUUGAAACAGAUCUAGAAUCAUACCUUUGAGUUCCUUGUUGAUCUUGAGGUCUUGGAGCUUCUAGAGUCACAAAUGUCACUCCUCUAAUGGCUUACAAACACCAAUAGCAAGGAAGAUGAUUUAGGAGAGAGGAUAGAGGAGGAAUUCAGCCAGGGGUCUCUUGCUUUUGGAGAUGUGUCGAAUUCCCUAUGCCAUGGGGUCUAUUUAUACUUGUAGACUCCUUAAGGGUUACAACCUAAACCCUAAUUAGAUAACUUAGACUUUAAGUUAAUCCAUAUCCUUUCCUUGAUAACCCUUUGGACGAUUUUGGCUUAUCCUAG